UACGUAGGGGGCUAGCGUUGUCCGGAUUUAUUGGGCGUAAAGAGCGUGUAGGCGGCCAUGUAGGUCCGGUGUGAAAACUCGAGGCUUAACCUCGAGAUGUCAUCGGAAACCAUUUGGCUAGAGUCCGGAAGAGGAGAGUGGAAUUCCUGGUGUAGCGGUGAAAUGCGCAGAUAUCAGGAGGAACACCGGUGGCGAAGGCGGGUCUCUGGGCCGUAACUGACGCUGAGGAGCGAAAGCAUGGGGGAGCGAACAGG
rnacentral:rRNA from 1 species